UACGGAGGGUGCGAGCGUUGUCCGGAAUCAUUGGGCGUAAAGGGCGCGUAGGUGGCCCGGUCAGUCCGUGGUGAAAGCGCGGGGCUCAACCCCGCGUCGGCCAUGGAUACUGCUGGGCUGGAGCACUGUAGAGGCAGGCGGAAUUCCGGGUGUAGCGGUGGAAUGCGUAGAGAUCCGGAGGAACACCGGUGGCGAAGGCGGCAUCCUGGACCAAUACUGACGCUGAGGAGCGAAAGCCAGGGGAGCAAACGGG
rnacentral:rRNA from 1 species